rnacentral:rRNA from 1 species
UACAGAGGUCUCAAGCGUUUGUUCGGAUUCAUUGGGCGUAAAGGGUGCGUAGGCGGCGCGGUAAGUCGGGGUGUGAAAUCUUGGAGCUUAACUCCGAAACUGCAUUCGAUACUGCCGUGCUUUGAGGACUGGAGAGGAGACUGGAAUUUACGGUGUAGCGGUGAAAUGCGUAGAUAUCGUAAGGAAGACCAGUGGCGAAGGCGGGUCUCUGGAC